AAACUAGUUCUGUUUUUUGGAAAUUUCAAAACAGAAAAGCACCCUACACGGAGCCUAAGGAAGUUACAAAGGCACGACACCAGCGUCUUUUGAAUGCGUCAACUACCAAAACUCGAGCGGUGUUUUCCAAUUACAAUAUUCCCAAAGGAUAGGUUAAGUUACUAUAGACAUAUUGUCGGCAGAUGAUUUACACGCAUCAUAUCAUGAACAACAUUUUAAUCCAAUGGAUUAGACUAAAUUUACAACAUAACGACAUUACAUUUUAGUAUCAUAUCAACUUCAUGAUCGUUACAUAAAAUAAAUGAAAUACUUACAUGACAAAGCCAGCACGAGACACAUAUUUAAAGAAGCAAAC
rnacentral:lncRNA from 1 species